GACCUCAAAUCAGGUAGGGCUACCCGCUGAACUUAAGCAUAUCAAUAAGCGGAGGAAAAGAAACUAACAAGGAUUCCCCUAGUAACGGCGAGCGAACCGGGAUGAGCUCAAAUUUGAAAUCUGGCGCCCUCCGGACGUCCGAGUUGUAAUCUAUAGAAGCGUUUUCCGUGCCGGACCGUGUCCAAGUCCCUUGGAACAGGGUAUCAAAGAGGGUGACAAUCCCGUACUUGACACGACGACCGGCGCUCUGUGAUACGUUCUCUACGAGUCGAGUUGUUUGGGAAUGCAGCUCAAAACGGGUGGUAAAUUCCAUCUAAAGCUAAAUAUUGGCGAGAGACCGAUAGCGAACAAGUACCGUGAGGGAAAGAUGAAAAGCA
rnacentral:rRNA from 1 species